UUUAUCUAUAUAACAAAUUUGAACUGUUCCAAUUCAAUUGUCUUGAGAUUUAGCGUCAUUUUAUUUUAAUUUUUCUUUGUCAAAAGGUAGAAAAAGCCCUUCACCUAUUCAAGGAAAGCCAAUUAAACACUAUCAUUUCUUUUGUCUCAAUUACAACCUAAAGCUUUGUAAUAAAGCUCAAUUAAACCCAAAUAGCUAAUACCUGUUUCCUUUUUACUAUUUUCCUAUAAAUAAAGUUAAAAAUAUUAGAAAAAAUGCUUAUUUAAAUAAUAUAAAAAUUAUAAAAGAAACACAAUAUGAAUGAUAAUAAAAAAAGAACAAUCAAAAAAAUUCCAUCAUGCCGUCGUUGCCCACUCUUGUUUUCUUCCCACAGAACAAACAAAGCAUCUAAUAAAUGGCGAUGGUAGCUUCAUGUUUCAUCUUUUUUCUUUUUUAAUAUUUUUUCAGUUUUUUUAUGCUUUUUCUUUGUUUAUCUUUUAUCAAAAUUGACCGGAGCAGCAACUUGUUUGUUUAAUGAGUUGAGAUUCGAGAUGGUAAGAUUUAAUACGUUGAGAGUUGUGAUUGAUUGAGUGUUUGACAUUGUAAAUUUAGAGAGAGGAGCGAGACGGUAGCGAUGGCAGUAGCAGUGGAGGAAGCAAUGAUAGUGGGUAAUUGAUGUGGAGUUCUUAUCGAAGAAGAAUAAGAAGAUGAAAGAAGCGAUAUGUGGAGGAUUUAGCGGUGGUAUGCCGGUGUCUGCCGAUUGAUGUAAAUGACAUUUUUCUUUUAACUAAUCUAAUAUCUUUUGAUUUUAUUAUUUGAUUUUUAUUAAAUGAGUUUAAUGUCAUUAUUUUUACUUUCUUAAAAAAUAAAAAAGAGUGAUAAAUGUUCUAAUA